CGGACGGGUGAGUAAUGCUUGGGAAUCUGGCUUAUGGAGGGGGAUAACUACGGGAAACUGUAGCUAAUACCGCGUAAUAUCUUCGGAUUAAAGGGUGGGACUUUCGGGCCACCUGCCAUAAGAUGAGCCCAAGUGGGAUUAGGUAGUUGGUGGGGUAAAGGCCUACCAAGCCGACGAUCUCUAGCUGGUCUGAGAGGAUGACCAGCCACACUGGAACUGAGACACGGUCCAGACUCCUACGGGAGGCAGCAGUGGGGAAUAUUGCACAAUGGGGGGAACCCUGAUGCAGCCAUGCCGCGUGAAUGAAGAAGGCCUUCGGGUUGUAAAGUUCUUUCGGUGAUGAGGAAGGUGUUUGUUUUAAUAGAACAAGCAAUUGACGUUAGUCACAGAAGAAGCACCGGCUAACUCCGUGCCAGCAGCCGCGGUAAUACGGAGGGUGCGAGCGUUAAUCGGAAUGACUGGGCGUAAAGGGCACGCAGGCGGUGACUUAAGUGAGAUGUGAAAGCCCCGGGCUUAACCUGGGAAUUGCAUUUCAUACUGGGUCGCUAGAGUAUUUUAGGGAGGGGUAGAAUUCCACGUGUAGCGGUGAAAUGCGUAGAGAUGUGGAGGAAUACCGAAGGCGAAGGCAGCCCCUUGGGAAUAUACUGACGCUCAUGUGCGAAAGCGUGGGGAGCAAACAGGA
rnacentral:rRNA from 1 species